ensembl:lncRNA FAM86JP family with sequence similarity 86 member J, pseudogene
GCCCACGUCAUGGCGCCCGAGGAGAACGCUGGGACCUAACUCUUGCUGCAGAGUUUGCAGCGCCGCUUUCUGGCGGCGCGCGCGCUGCGCUCCUUCCCCUGGCAGGUGGGCGGCGGGGCGAGCGGAGAGGCCCGCAGGGCUCGCGGGAGUCCAGGGGCAGACGGGAUGGGUCUCCGUGCAGAAGCCCCCGACACGCCCGCCACGUGCACCCUGUGACAUCUGAAGGUCAGGCUUUCAGCUGCUGUGGCUUCCACUUCCAACUGGCUCCACGUCCCCAGGGAGAGAUCACACAGCGCUUUGCCAACACAUUCUAUUGCGUGUUUAAUGUUCCUGUGAAUGCGCCCUUGAGAUUUCUCUCUCUCCCGUCCACACAGAGCUUAGAAGCAAAAUUAACAGACUCAUCAGAUUCUGAGCUUCUGCGGGAUAUUUUGCAGAAGACUGUGAAGCAUCCUGUGUGUGUGACGCACCCGCCGUCAGUCAAGUAUGCCCGGUGCUUUCUCUCAGAACUCAUCAAAAAGACGUGCUGUAUUGCCCAGAAGCCAUCGUGUUGCUGGUCGGGGUCCUGCUGAGGCUGGCUGCCUGCCGGGAGCACCAGCGGGCUCCUGAGGUCUAUGUGGCCUUUACUGUCCGCAACCCAGAGACAUGCCAGCUGUUCACCACCGAGCUAGGCCAGGCCAGGAUCAGAUGGGAAGUGGAACCUCGUCAUGACCAGAAACUGUUUCCCUAUGAAGAGCACUUGGAGAUGGCAAUGCUGAACCUCACACUGUAGGACUCACACACGACUCCAAUGGGAUUGUGAGAAUCAAGUCACUCUCAAGGGAAGAGGUUUCAUAUGGGAAAGCUGAUAAAACUUUCACUGGACUGGAAUGUUUGGAGAAUGUUAAUUUCCAAAUCAGGAACUACAAACUGCCCUCUAAUAAGACAUCGGCUAUCUAAGCGUGUGGGUGCUCCCUUUCUGCCAGCAGUUCUGGUUCUUAAGGAAAUCGCCAUCACUCAGACAUGAAAACUCUGGCUCCAAAAAUAGCAUUUUCUUUGUGCAAAUAAAAACGUGUGUAUCAAGUAUGUGGACACACUCGGUUCCUCACAAAGCCAAGCCUGCUGCAGCUGCCACAUCCCUGGACACACUUGGUUCCUCACAAAGCCAAGACUGCUGCAGCUGCCACAUCCGCGGACACACUCAGUUCUUCACAAAGCCAAGCCCGCUGCAGCUGCCACAUCCCUGGGCUUACGAUGCAGCAGGUGCUUUUUUCAAGACAGGAAUCAAAAUGUUAGGAACACGGCAGAAAGGUGACACCUGGAGACCAAACGCAGGAUAAGGAGUACUGCAGAGGUCACAGGGAAGUCACAGAACAGUAAUACGCUAGCAGGGGCAUGGGGCAUGAAGAACAGAAGAAGAGAGGAAGUGUUUCCGAGCCUCCGGAAAAGAAAUCAGAGCCAAGCACAGCUUCCCGGGUCACAGAACCAAUUCAUUCACCAGGCGGCACCACUGCCGUCAUUUCAGCUUCUGGCCACUGGGAGGCGCUGCUCAAAAGGGUUUGCCCUGAGACUCCGAGAAGAAGCUGCGGGAAGGACAGCAGGGGUCCCGGGGUUUUAGCCUCUGGCCCAGGAGUUGUAUGUCCAUAACCAAAGGGAGCACAGUCUGCACCCAGCUCUCAUCCCAUCGGAGCUGCUGCGACUCCCGCAGGUUCUUCCAAAACUGGUUUAGCUUGCCUGCAGGAUCAGGAAAGUUUGAGAAAAGCAUCUGCAAAAAAAUAAAGAGCAGAGCUUACCUCAUUGCCUGUCCCCACCCCAUCCCAGGUCACCACCUGGCUGACCCCAGGUCCCCGACCCAACAACAACCCCUCCCAAGUUCCUAACUCUCUCACUUGGACUCGAGACUCUUCACGCCCCAGCAGCGCUCCGCCUCCAACUUGACAUCAUGCUUUCUGGAAACUUCCCCGUAUGUCCCACUUUCCCACACUUGGUGCCCUGGAGCACCUCCCGGCCUCUAACGUGCUGUAUGUUCCCCUGCGAGCACCCUCCUCUUGGCCUCUGGCCAAGUCCCACCCAUCUGUGGGUAACAAGGGGGUGUCGGUGUUCUUUUCAGCCUUGCUAAACUCUCUGAAUCAAGGAUCACAAACUACAGCCUGCAGGCCAAAUCCAGCCCACAGCCUGUGUUUGUAAAUAAAGUUUUAUUGGAACAAA